GUAAUUGCAGCUGUACCCACUGUUCUUUAUUUGUCUCACUAAUUUAUCACCUGGAAAGAACCAAACGUUUCUGUUUUAAAUGAGAUGUUCUUCUCCACCUGUCCUCGCAUGGUCCAGAAGAAGGAUGCUCGUCCGCGCACACCGCUGUGGAUUUAAUAGCAGAAACAACCCCAGGCACAGCACCUCCCCACUCUGCGAAGCAGGAGGUCACACUGCACACCCGGGCUAGUAAAGGCAAAAUGAAACGAAGGAUCACGUUAACAUGACAUGAGGUUUAUUAUAGGUCUGCUUAGAAUGAAGAGAGACAUGUCCUGAAUUUCCCCAAAGCCUAUGUUGGGAAAAUGAAGACUUCUUGGAGUUAUAAGUAAAUCCGUCUGCAGAAUCGAAGCAGCACCAACAUUCAAAAAAACUGAAGAGGAAAAUACAACAAAACACAAC